ensembl:lncRNA
AGGGGGUGCACCGUUCCUAGAAAUACUGCAAUACCAGGUCGAUGCGCGGAGUGGACGGAGCAAGCUCCUAUUCCAUCUCCCUGCUCCAAAAAUCCAUUUAAUAUAUUGUCCUCGGAUAGAGGACGUAUCAGAUAUUAAACUGAUAAGAACAGAUACUACACUUGAUCUUAGCCAAAAGGCCGAGAAGCGAUACUCCCCGCCCAGGCCUCCCCGCCGCCGGCCUCCUACCACGCACUUUCAACUCACGGUGAGUCGCCGGACGCUCAGCCCAGGUCUCACUUCCUUUGCUUCUGCGACAAUCCUCUGAGAAUUCACCACACAGUCGGCUCUGGUGCAGAUUUUCAAUCCUCCGGAUUUUUAAAGAGAACUUACCUACCUGUUGUUGCCCCGUCGUUCUGGGACGGAAACGCCAUUCUGAAUCUGCAUGCCCCGCCCUUUCCCGCCCGAGGAGGCGUGGCUACGGCGGGUCCGCCGUACCUCCCGGGCCGCCUCCGCGCGCCCUCAGCGGGAGCUGGGCUUCUCUUUCGUGCCAACGGAGAGAAAAGUCAGCACCGCGGCCGCGAAGGCCGGGCGGCGGCAAGAGGGCCUGAGGAAGGCAGCUGGCGGCGGACAGUUUCCCGAAGGCACACGGGGUCGCGAGACGGCUUCACCGGAAACGCCCGGACUGUAUCGUGUUACAUCGGGUGUCCGCGGGCGGAAAGACGAGCUUGGGAGGCGGCGGAGGAGGGGCUCACCGAUUCAGGGAGCCGAAGGUCUUGGGGGCGUCCCCCCGAGCGGCGGGGCCAGCCUGCGCGCCGGGCGGAGGGCGCAGGGCGCAGGGCGCAGGGCGGAGGGCGGAGGGCGGAGGGCGGAGGGCGGAGGGGGGCGCAGGGCCGGCGGUGGGGAGGGGCGGGGAGGCGUGUCUGGGGGCGGGGCGGCCGCAUGGAUUCUCUCCGCCUCCGGCACCUGCGUCUCUGGGUGCUUCUGGGGAGGAACCGUGUCCUGGGCUGCGUCCCUCGAGCUCCCCGUGCCUGGGACAUGGUUUCCCUACAGCUCUUCCUCACCUGGCAGAUACUCUGCACCCUGCUUGGCUGUCACUUCUUGCAGAAAGCCUGCCUUAAGGGCCCUGCCGCCCCCGCCCCCAGUCUCGGUAGCGGCCUUCCUACGUAUUUCAUCCCACCCGCACCGGUCCGGCGCCCCGCGGGUAGGAGAUGCUCCGCAAAGGUUUGCUCGCUGAAUUAAAGAUGCGCAAGAGGGACUGAAUCAGAGAAGAAGUUAGGAGGCUGCUGGCCCGAUGCGGGGGUGAAGAAGGGAAGAUCUGGCCAGGGGCGGCAGGACACCAGAGAGGAGAGGCGACUGCCGGGGAUGCUCUGGGCGGGCAUCAAGGCCCGUCGAUGCGUUAAGGCCUCUGGCCAAGUUGGGGUAAAGGUUCCCCCUGUGGCGAAGACCGCCGGCUGCCCGCUCAGCCUUUCCCGUCCGCCCUCCUAAGAGAGGUUCCGUGUAGCGGGGGAGUUGAUGUUGCUUUCAUCUGGUCUCAGAAGAGCUAGGCGGUAUCGUGGGUGUAAGACUGAAGCCCCGUCGGUCGUUUCACUCUGCAGCACGGGAAGCCUGAUGGCAGGUGCUGCCCGAGCCCUCCGGAUGCCAGCCCCUGGGCUGAGGGCUCUCCGUGUAUUAGCGCAGUUAAUUCCCUCGAGGGCCGAGGGCCGGUGAGAAAGGGGAUCAUGAUAACAGCUCUCCGCUUCGGGGACUUGUGAAGCUACCCGUGGAAACGACAGGCAUAUGGGAAUCUCGUGAUAAGUGCGCUCUAGGAAAAGUCCCCGCCCGUCGGUCACAUGGAGAGAACAUCCGUUUUACGGUGUUGUGAAGAGUCUUCCCCUGCCCACCCCGGGCAUCCCUGCUUCCCGUCCCACUUUCCCUGGCUUUAUUUUCCUGCCAGCUGCCGAGUCGUUCCGGACGCCCGCGAGCAUCCCACGGCACAGAGAGGACUACAGACACGGCCGUGUGGGCACACAGGCGCACAGUUAGAUUCGCAACUGUACCGACGGUGUUGGCCUAUCUGCUUCUCGCCUCGACGGCAGAGACUCUGUUUGCUCCUCCGUCCCCAGCACCUGGGACGGUGCUCGGCACGGCCUUGGCGCUUGAGGAAUAUUUGUGGAAGGAAAGGAGGAGGGUCAAAUGAGACGACAUCUCACGUGCUCAGCCUGCACCUGACACGACUCUUCGGGCCUCCCCAUCCCAGGAUCCCUGUUCAGCUCUGCGUGUCUCAGACCAUCUUCUGCUCAGACUUUGGUUUCCCUGAGAAGGGGGUUGCUGCGGUCUGAACCCCGCUACCCUGUUCAUCUCUCGCGGGCCUCCUCCUUGUCCUGCCUGUUCUCCUGGCCGUUGGGGCAGGUGUCUUAGUCUCAAGCCUGGGUCGGC